rnacentral:lncRNA from 1 species
AGAAGUGCCUCUUGUCGGUCAUCAGAUGCCGAUAGGAUAACACGCGGAGAGAUUCGAGCUAGAACCAAAGUAUUGCCAGCUGUAGGAGACAGCGGGUAAAUCAUACGGUCGCGACCUCGAGUAAAGAGGGGUGAGGUGCCUAACCGAUGGUAACAUAUACAUAUGUUGAAUGUAUCCAAUUGGAUCGUAAAGGCCGGAAGCAACUGCUGCGCGAGCGGCGACUAAUGCAUGUACAUCAAUACCCCGACAUCUCGUUGAGGCUGUAGUUUGCGCUCAACGAGCUUGUACGGUAAGAGCUGUGCGCCAGUAUAUCCGUACGCAUAUCAAGGCUGCCUAUCGCAACGCAGUAACAGCUGGAUGAUGUCCGUGCUGCUGCUUGUUGCCUUGUUCCGAAGCAGGGAGAGUCGCGUCCUUACUUGUAGUUCCGUUGCUGCUAAGCGAGCUGUGGCGAAGCGAUGUGCUGUUGUUGUGUCGUCUUCCUUCCGUGGCUCCUAAUAACUUGCGAAACGUGGGAGAAGCCGGGAGGGUGUUGAUCUGUCUCGGAAUCGAAAAGGAAUCCAUGUUCACUUGCCGGAAGUCGGGGUUGUAGUUUUGGCGGCGAGGUCGUGCGACCGCGACUUACAGCUCAACCCUUGCAAGCCGCACCGAGGGUGUCGCCAUCGUGAACGGGGUAGGUGCGUGUUACACCCCGAGAGGACGGUUGUCAGAGAGGAAGGUGCGCAGUCAAGGAAGGGGGAAGCAAACCCUAAACGGGAAUCAACUCAGAAAAUCACCCACAUCAGACGGUUCCACCGUAAUGAAGAUCCAGAACAAAUUCAACAAAAAGGAGGAUGAGAAGCAGCCAAAGGCGAAAGGCCAAGGCGAGACAAGUAAGCGAGGCAACAAUGUAAAAGAAUAUAGGCGUACACUACAGACGCUGUAUCGCAAGACGCGCGCACAAUGUGUUACAGGAAAGGUUACGAAUUUUGUUCAGAUAAUUCCGCAAAUGAUGUGACUUAAGCUUUACAUGCAAGAUUGUUGGUACGCGCGUGUAGAAGGCGGUGGGAGCCGGAUGUCGUUUUCGCAACGUUGUGAAGCCUUGACGACCAAAAAGUGCAUUGGCUAUGUGCUCUACGUUAAAAGGUUACUGACCUUCAUGCGAUAGGAGCUCCUGCGCCUUCCCAGACGUUGCUAGGCCUAGCCAACUAAUUUGCCAAGGACGCAAAGGUUUUAAAAUGCUAAUAAUCUGUAUGUUAUAUGCCCACUUUAUAUUAUUUGAUUUGACGACCUUCGAAUCAAAGUUCAAGACUCGCGAACAUCGCGAUUCAAGCACCCUUACAGCCGUACACACACCAUCACUGCGACGCGCUUUGGUAUACGUAUGUUCAAGCGUGCAAUUUGCGUUGUUGAUAUCGGAUCAUUGGUAUCAUGUAGCAUACAACGUUCCGGCGGCAAUACAGGCAGGGGGCCAGAAAUUCUAACAAGAUGAUCUUGUACCCUCGCAUUCUGCCCACACAGAUCUCCUUCUACUACAAACAACAUAUAUUGGGAAAGAAUUCUGAUUGGAUGCUCCGGGAAAUUCACCAAUGGAAUUCGCACAUGUGAAAUUCAACAACUCCAAUUGCAGCAUAUCUUUAGAUAUUUGGAGACACAUGUCGUAAUCAUAAUGCUUACGUAAAGAGCUUAGAGAUGUACAUGUGUUGACGCGGUAAUCAAUAGUAGGCGGGGAACCCCAAAACAUGUGGUGUGGGAUGGUCCGUAACCGCUGUCGUUGGAGCGGUUCGUCGGUUGUAGGUUGUCAGGCCGGU